rnacentral:lncRNA from 1 species
CUUUUCUGUUUGAGUGCUUCUUCCUCACACUAAAGUAUCACCAUCUGAAAUAAGAGAGAACCUCCAGAACUGUCAGAUAACUGUUUUGAAGCUUGCUUUUGCUGCACAAUCCACAAGGCAGCAGGAAGAGAGGGACAAUGGAAUUGCAGCUAAGUGAAGCAUGUUCUUCCUGCAGUCUCUCUGAUGCUUUCCUGGAACUGGUUCUCUUGCUGUUUAUGGAACAAAAGCAACAAGCUGAAUCUUCUGUUUGUCUGCUGGUGGCCUUAAAAUGGAAGAUAUUGGAAGAUUUAAGCUCAAGAAGUUCGUCACAGAGAGUGGUGAGGUGCUGGCACACGCUGCCCAGAGAGGCUGUGGAUGCACCUGGAGGCGUUCAAGACCAGGCUGGAUGAGGCCCUGGGCAACCUGGUCUAGUACCAGAUCUGGAGGUUGGUGGCCCUGCCUGUGGCAGGGGGGUUGGAACUUGAUGAUCCUUGGGGUCCCUUGCAACCCAAGCCAUUCUAUGGUUCUAUGAUAUGUCAGCAAGCUGAUGAUACCAUUGCUGUUGUACUGAUGAGUAUAGCUAGCCACAGAUUUUUGUAGCUUGAUCAGGAACAGUUUAAAAACUGUUUGGCAGAUCUCUAGGUGCCAUUAUGAACUUCCUUAACUCCUUUUCCUGUUUCCAGACCAUUUAGUUUUAAGUCUCGCAUGAGAUGUUUACUCAGUGGGAAAUAAAGAAACAGAAGAAAAAGAAAAAAAAAAAAAC